rnacentral:lncRNA from 1 species
AAUCAAAACAAAUAUUAAUUUGCACAGUCUCUGCACUGGGGCAGUUACCAGAGACUGAGCAUUAAUCAGUGAAACAGACAGAUAUGAGGGCCAGCCACGGGUUGUGGAAAGAGGAGGAGCAGAGACAUGGUGAGAGAAGGAGGGCUUAUAGAAAGGCAGGGGCCAAACCAAGUAGGACCAUAUGAGCUGGGCAAUGGGGAGCCACUGGAAGAUUUAUACAGGCAUCACACUUUCCCUGGAUGCUGCGUAGGAAGAAAUUGAAGCCUUCCACAAGUGGAACCAGCUCUCAGCUCCUUUCAGGAAGCAACUAAAUCAGAAAACAGUGUUCUCUCUUCCUUGGAGCUGGCACAGGUUUUGAUAACAUCGAUUGAAUGCCAAGCCACGCAGGAGCAGUAAGAUGUGCUACCCAGAAGCAACAAAAGAUAAACACUUAACUAUCCGCAGUCAACCAGCUUGGAGCUUUCAGGCGAUGAAAAGUUAUUUAAUUAUUAAGGCAAAAAGCACACAGGCGUACGACUGAGGACACCAGAGAAGUUGAUGCUUUCCAAAUUUUGAAUAAAAGAUUGUAACUUUAAAACUGAUU